GGAAGAGCUGCGGCUCAGUGGUAGAACAUCUGCUUUGUAUGCAGGAAGCUCUGGGUUCAAACUUCAGGUAUCA